AAUGGCUCAUUAAAUCAGUUAUCGUUUAUUUGAUAGUACCUUACUACUUGGAUAACCGUGGUAAUUCUAGAGCUAAUACAUGCCUAAAACCCCGACUUCGGAAGGGGUGUAUUUAUUAGAUAAAAAACCAACGCCCUUCGGGGCUUCUUGGUGAUUCAUGAUAACUUUACGGAUCGCAUGGCCUUGCGCCGGCGACGGUUCAUUCAAAUUUCUGCCCUAUCAACUUUCGAUGGUAAGGUAUUGGCUUACCAUGGUUUCAACGGGUAACGGGGAAUUAGGGUUCGAUUCCGGAGAGGGAGCCUGAGAAACGGCUACCACAUCCAAGGAAGGCAGCAGGCGCGCAAAUUACCCAAUCCCGACACGGGGAGGUAGUGACAAUAAAUACUGAUACAGGGCUCUUUUGGGUCUUGUAAUUGGAAUGAGUACAAUUUAAACCUCUUAACGAGGAACAAUUGGAGGGCAAGUCUGGUGCCAGCAGCCGCGGUAAUUCCAGCUCCAAUAGCGUAUAUUAAAGUUGUUGCAGUUAAAAAGCUCGUAGUUGAAACUUGGGUCUGGCUGGCAGGUCCGCCUCACCGCGUGUACUUGUCCGGCCGGGCCUUCCUUCUGGAGAACCUCAUGCCCUUCACUGGGCGUGUUGGGGACCAGGACUUUUACUUUGAAAAAAUUAGAGUGUUCAAAGCAGGCCUUUGCUCGAAUACGUUAGCAUGGAAUAAUAAAAUAGGACGUGCGGUCCUAUUUUGUUGGUUUCUAGGACCGCCGUAAUGAUUAAUAGGGACAGUCGGGGGCAUCAGUAUUCAAUUGUCAGAGGUGAAAUUCUUGGAUUUAUUGAAGACUAACUACUGCGAAAGCAUUUGCCAAGGAUGUUUUCAUUAAUCAGUGAACGAAAGUUAGGGGAUCGAAGACGAUCAGAUACCGUCGUAGUCUUAACCGUAAACUAUGCCGACUAGGGAUCGGGCGAUGUUCUUUUUCUGACUCGCUCGGCACCU
rnacentral:rRNA from 1 species